rnacentral:snRNA from 1 species
GUGCUUGCUUUGGCAGCACAUAUACUAAAAUUGGAACGAUACAGAGAUUAGCAUGGCCCCUUCACAAGGAUGACAUGCAAAUUUGUGAAGCGUUCCAUAUUAAA